rnacentral:rRNA from 1 species
UACGUUCCCGGGCCUUGUACACACCGCCCGUCAAGUCACGAAAGUCGGUAACACCCGAAGCCCAUGGCCCAACCGUUCGCGGGGGGAGUGGUCGAAGGUGGGACUGGCGAUUGGGGUG